rnacentral:rRNA from 1 species
AAUAAACGCUGGCGGCGUGCUUUACACAUGCAAGUCGAGCGAGGCGUACGGGGCUUGCUCCGUACAGUCGAGCGGCGAACGGGUGAGUAACGCGUGGAUAUCUACCCUGAGGUGGGGGAUAACCCGGGGAAACUCGGGCUAAUACCGCAUGAUAUCCCGCUUUGCGGGAUCAAAGAGGGCUUCGGCUUUCGCCAUGGGAUGAGUCUGCGUCCGAUUAGCUAGUUGGUGAGGUAAUGGCUCACCAAGGCGACGAUCGGUAGCCGGCCUGAGAGGGUGAUCGGCCACACUGGAACUGAGACACGGUCCAGACUCCUACGGGAGGCAGCAGUGGGGAAUUUUGCGCAAUGGGGGAAACCCUGACGCAGCAACGCCGCGUGGAGGAUGAAGGUUUUCGGAUUGUAAACUCCUGUCAGUGGGGAAAAAGCGAGCUGGCCUAAUACGUCAGUGAGUUGAUUGUACCUGCAGAGGAAGCCCCGGCUAACUCUGUG